rnacentral:rRNA from 1 species
GACGAACGCUGGCGGCGUGCUUAACACAUGCAAGUCGAACGGAAAGGCCCUGCUUUUGUGGGGUGCUCGAGUGGCGAACGGGUGAGUAACACGUGAGUAACCUGCCCUUGACUUUGGGAUAACUUCAGGAAACUGGGGCUAACACCGGAUAGGAGCUCCUGCUGCAUGGUGGGGGUUGGAAAGUUUCGGCGGUUGGGGAUGGACUCGCGGCUUAUCAGCUUGUUGGUGGGGUAGUGGCUUACCAAGGCUUUGACGGGUAGCCGGCCUGAGAGGGUGACCGGCCACAUUGGGACUGAGAUACGGCCCAGACGCCUACGGGAGGCAGCAGUGGGGAAUAUUGCAAGAUGGGCGGAAGCCUGAUGCAGCAACGCCGCGUGCGGGAUGACGGCCUUCGGGUUGUAAACCGCGUUAGCCUGGGACGAAGCGUGAGUGACGGUAAUGGGUAAAGAAGCACCGGCUAACUACGUG